GGCUCCCUCUAGUCAAAAGGAGGUGCUUCCGUUGUAGGAGAGCCAGGAUCUUCCUUUCGGGUAAAUGUGUUGUCGAUCCCCGGGACCCCCUCCAGGCUCGGAACUACCCAAGUCUGGGCGGGGAGCCAGCGAGGCCCUGGCCCUCGCCAUCGGGAAGAGAAAGAAGAGAAGCCUUGGAUUGUUGCAGAACAUGGGGUUGCGAAAGUUUGCGUUCUCUUCCGCUGAACCUCUCGCUCGGAGCACUUGGUGCCCGGGUCGAGUGUCGCCUAGUUUGAAAGUUUCCCGGCGCUCCAGCCGCCUUCCCUCACCUACCAGCCUCUUCUGCCACCUCCUAGCGGAGUAUAACGUAAUUUUCUGGGCCAGGGAUCAAACCCACACCACAGCAGUGACAACACCAGAGAACUCCUGGAUUUGGUUUAUUUGGAACUUGACUUGAAAGUCUUCUGUAUCUUCGUUUCUGAUGUGUCUCUUCUUUAGCUAAUGUGCUCCUUUGUUGAGGGAGAAUGUCGCGUUCUUUAGAGUGUGCAACCAGUGGGAGACUGGCAGAUGAAGUUCUUCAGUGUUUGUGGCUGGUGUAGCCACUCAACAUCCUGAAACAGGGGCCUGCAGUUCAGUUAGAUUUUAUUCAGAAUUCCUGAAAUGGAUUUAAGGAAACAAUAAAGGGGAACAAUA